rnacentral:rRNA from 1 species
CGUGUAGGCGGUUGGUCAAGUCUGGUGUGAAAGCCCGGGGCUUAACCCCGGAAGUGCAUUGGAAACUAGCCAGCUAGAGCGCAAGAGAGGAGGGUGGAAUUCCUGGUGUAGCGGUGAAAUGCGUAGAUAUCAGGAGGAACACCGGCGGCGAAGGCGGCCCUCUGGCUCGUUGCUGACGCUGAAACGCGAAAGCGUGGGGAGCAAACAGGAUUAGAUACCCUGGUAGUCCACGCUGUAAACGAUGGGUACUAGGUGUUCGGGGUAUUGACCCCCUGAGUGCCGCCGCUAACGCAUUAAGUACCCCGCCUGGGGACUACGGCCGCAAGGUUAAA